rnacentral:rRNA from 1 species
GGGCCCGCACAAGCGGUGGAGCAUGUGCUUUAAUUCGAUGCAACGCGAAGAACCUUACCUGGAUUUGACAUGGGGGUGAAAGGUCGCAGAGAUGUGAUCCCUUCCGCAAGGAACGCCCUACACAGGUGCUGCAUGGUUGUCGUCAGCUCGUGUCGUGAGAUGUUAGGUUAAGUCCUGUAACGAGCGCAACCCUCGCCCUUAGUUGCUAACAGGUUAUGCUGAGAACUCUAAGGGGACCGCCUGGUUUAACCAGGAGGAAGGUGGGGAUGACGUCAAAUCCUCAUGGCCCUUACGUCCAGGGCUAGACACGUGCUACAAUGGUAGAAACAGCGGGAUGCAAGCUGGUGACAGCAAGCUAAUCCCUUAAAAUCUAUCUCAGUUCGGAUUGAAGUCUGCAAUUCGACUUCAUGAAGCUGGAAUCGCUAGUAAUCGCGGAUCAGCAUGCCGCGGUGAAUACGUUCCCGGGCCUU